rnacentral:misc_RNA from 1 species
GAAAUAAAUUCAACCUUAGGACUCUUCUUCAGCUCUUGCUCCUUCCUCUCUUUUUCACGUCUCAUAUCAGCUUCUAUUUCGUCAUAGAAGUCGCUUUUGUCAUAUCCAUGAGGGUCAAAUACAUCUUUACUGAAGCAAGACCCAAUCUGAUCAAUAUCUUGAUACCUAACUGCAUGCAGCAAGAAGUCAGGGUUUCGAUAAUCCUUUCUAUUGCGGACUUCUGCAUUGAAGCUUCUGCCAACCUUCUUCAAAGCAAGAAAUUUAUCUAUUUUCCUUUGCAG